UGUACAGGUUCCUAUCUUUCUCCUCUGCUCUCCCCAGUGCAUAGUUUUUAUUCUCGAGUUAUUUCAUUCUCAGGGUCCAAGAUGGCUCUUGGACGCAGUGGGGAAGGGCAACAAAAGGAAUGUCCCCCAGUUGAAUCAGCUUCCUUGAUGCAGUUUUCCCAGAGAACCACAUAGCAUUUGAAUUUACAUCUCAUUGGCCAGAGCUGUGUCACAUGGCCAUCUAGCUGCUAGGGAAGCUGAGAAAUCCAUUUGGCAAUGGGACAGGCUAAAAGUUAGGAUUCUUUUAGGAAGGUUUCCCUUUAAGAAGGGAAGAGGGAAUGUUUGGUAGGCAACUUACAGCUUUAAUUUAAACAGCCUUUUGGUUACCUAAAUAUCUAUGUACAUUCUUCCAAAACAGAAACCGCUCACUUCCCUCACCUCAAAAGGAAACCACCAAAACCCAAUCUAUUAUUGCAUGUAGUUCAAAGCCCAUGACAUCUGAGUAUAGUCCCCUCCAUCAGGUUAGGAUGUGGUUUUUUUAUGUUCUGGUCAUCUGCAAACUAAAAAGCAACAUGUCUGCCCCCUGAGCACCAUAUGCAUAAUGGGAUAGAUACAGGAUAACUGCAAUAAAAUCAACCUUUUAGAAAAGGGGAAAACAGGAAACAGAGCAGUCAUCUUUCCAUAACAAUUAAAAAAAUACUGCUUGGCAAAAAUAGCAAGGUCUCUCUGCUCUGUCCAUAAAUAUAUUCUUUGGUUUUUCUAUUAGGCAACCCCUGCUUCACCUUUCUGGGAGGAACUCCCUUGUCUAAUGUCCUCAGGGGCCCUUGGCAUUGCCCUCUAGGAUGUUUUUAUUGCCCAUUAACCUUCAAGGACGCAAGUGGGCAUUGGGAAGUGUCCUCUUCUGGAAGGCUGGACAGUCUUCGCACUUCACUUCCUGUUAUUGUGGGUUUGGGGCCUUGGAAUUGUUUCAGAUAGUUACAGGCUGUUUCAGGCCAGGUUUAGGGUUUUUGUUUGUUUUUGUUUCGUUUUGCUUUUUGGCAAAACAGUUCCCUCAAAAGUUGUACGUUUCUGGUCUGUUUUCUUCAAUUAUUACCACGAGAAACCACAGAGAUCUUGUCAAGACAUAUUUAACAAAGAACCUCAUCUUUUGCUUGCUGGCCUCUGUGUUCUUUUCUCCUGUUGGGUCUUAAAUGAAUGGUACCCACUUGGGAUUGUUUUAAACUAUAGGCUUGGAUGGGAUAACAGCAGUCUUAAUCUGAUCUUUUUCCUUAGGAUGGCUCCCAUUAUUUGGCAGAAAAUUCUUAAGGGAAGGUUCUUGGAAAGGUUGUGAAAGCUUUAGCGCUUCCUCAGAACCUUUACUUAUAACUGUUUCAGUUUAGAGUACGGUAGUACAGUAAGUGACUUUUUCAAUUCUUCAGGGCUCCAGAUUUGGGACUUUAUCAAUUUAUUUGGUAGAUAGAGAGCAGUUCUCUCGGCAAAGCUAUAUUGCCUUCCAUCUCUGCAGACUUGCUUACCUUAACCCGAGCCACAUCUCUCCUGUAGGACUUUUCUGAAAGAGGCAAGGCGCAGCCCACACAUGCUAGCAUUCUGAAAUUCUACCCCCAUUUUCUCUGAUACCUUAACCUCAGUUGGCAUGAAGUAUCACUGCCCCAAACCCUACCUUCUUAACUAAGCCAAUUCCAUUUUUUCAGAUCCUUUUACUUGCUGCACCUUACUUCUAGCUACCAAAUUCUGUAUAGGUUAAGAUUCUUCAUUGUAAGUAAUAGAAUCAUCUUCAGCUACUAAACAGAAUGGGAUUGUUGGUGGGGGGAGCAGUAUAGAUAGAUAGCUCACAGAAUCUUUGGGAGGGCUGAAAGAACGGAACUUAGGCUGAGCUUCUAGGAACUGCAUCAUGAGACUGGGCUGCCAAAGAAGCUGCUGCUUUUGGAACAAUCAAGAAGCUGCCUGCUAAAUCAGGAAGCCACCUGCCAUAUUAGGAAGUCAUGAAGUUGCCAGCUCCAGAACCACACCACCUCUGCCUUGCUUUGUGUCAGCAAAAAUGGAUAUUUCAUGUCCUGCUUCUCUCCCCAUGUAAUUCAGUUCUGAGUAAAAGUUUCAAAUAUUAAGAAGUCUUUGGUUUAGUUGACUUAGUGCUGUGCAAUAAAUCGAGAAGAAAUUGAUAAAGAGGCAGAGUUAGAUGAUGGCCUUCAUCAUUUUCAUGCAAGAUUUUUGUCGCCUGAAAAAGCUGCUAGAGAAGAUCAUCUUUACCCUUAACCACUGGUGUCUCAACUUGAUACUUGAAUAAUUCAUUUGUUUUUUGUUGGAAUUGAGAAACUAAGGUGUAUUAGGUAAAAUGCAGAGUUCCUAUAGGUGAUACAAUGGAAGACUCUAAUUACACCUUGUUUUCAAGGGCUUCCCUGGUGGCGCAGUAGUUGAUAGUCCGCCUGCCGAUGCAGGGGACACAGGUUCGUGCCCCGGUCCGGGAGGAUCCCACAUGCCGCGGAGCGGCUGGGCCCGUGGGCCAUGGCCGCUGGGCCUGCGCGUCCGGAGCCUGUGCUCUGCAACGGGAGAGGCCACAACAGUGACAGGCCCGCAUACCGCAAAAAAAAAAAAAAAUUUCUUUUUACAAUUCUUAUAAUUUUGCUACUCCAUGAAAUUUUUUAAUGAAUAAUGAUUUUAAAGUUAUAACUUGUCUGAGUGUUUUAAAAAUAAGGGAGGAAAAAAUAAAAUUCCAUCUACUAGCUCUCUUUGCCAUCUCCCAUGAAUCAUUGUAUUAAAAUGUUAUUUUUUAAUUUUAGUCCAUUUAACAUCUCCUUUUUAGUGAUAUGAAAAUAUGUGUCAUUUAAUUAAAUCCUCACACUCACUUUAGAUUCCCUGUGUAUGGAGUAAGUAACACAUGUACGGCUUAUGCCAUUCUAUAUUUGUUUUGUACCAUGUGACUUUACCUAUUUUGCUGUCCACUAUUACUCUUCACUUGUCAAAGUGAUUUGAGUUUGCUUUACUUUUGAACUUUAUCCUUUCUUUUCUUGGUGUUGCUACUUCAUAAAUAUGUCCUUAUUAGAGUAGUGAUGUAUUAUAGAUUAUUUCUUUUUUGAGACAUAUUUGCCAUGCCCCUUAAUGUUUUAAACAUUUUUAUGGUAGUAUUGAAGCAUUUUCCUCAAACACAACAAUUUAAAACUCCUAUAUCUUUGUGUAGUGAUUCCUUCUUGUUCUAUAGCAUUGAGUAAUGUGUAUUAGAAUUUGUAUUUUAACUUUUUCCUGACCAAAUCUCAGUUCUAAUCCUGUAUUCAUUUCUUGUUUCCUUUGAUGUGUAUGUGUUUUCACUCUUUGAUAUUUUUAGUAUGUUUCAUUGAGGGUCAAGGUUGAUCUUGGGGAAAAGAAAACUAUGUCUGCAGAAAAGUCAGGUUUUCUAGAGCUUAUUAGGCAAGAAGGCAGUCCUUGCUAGAGUGGUUUCUGAGCAUGGUGGAGAGUGCUUCUAACCCUGAAAAAAGUUUCUGACUCAUGAGUAGAGAUUUCCUGACUCCUUCCCUUUAACAGAGUGAAACAGCUUACAGAGCAAAAGCGUCCAGAUUGUGGUGAAUGUCCGUUGUCCAAUUCUUUAGCUUUUUUAUACCCUCCUUAAAUAAUAAUAGUAUUUAAAAAUACUUUGUGCAUCCCAACAGACAUUCUCCAUCUUACAGUUGUUAAUAAAGGAAAAUAAGUAUUUUUUGGAACAGAAAGACCAGGACAUGAAUUUGGCAAUCUCUGAUUAGAAGAGAAGUAGCAUAUUUUAUUGUUUUAUCAUCACUUUUGCCUGGAUGAUCUGAGUUUUAGUUAAGUUCCUCCCUAAGUACUCUCCCAUUUUUCUACUGUUGUAUUGACUUUUCCACUAUUGUAUUUCUAAUGCACCUCCUUAAUCAUUGGAGAGUUUCGAGGGAUGUAGAAUGUUGUAGCACCAUUGUUAGAGGUCUUAAGGUAUCAUAGCCGCCAGCUUCAUGGGGCUUAUUAUCCAGACUUUCAAAUGAAUUCUCCUCUUCCCUCACAAUCCCAAAUAAUAAUCUUUUCUCUAAGGAAGUCUGUUACUAAUUAAGAUUUAGAGGUGAUUUUAUUAAAACAGGAUUAAUUUCCAAAAGGUUUAUAUAAAAGAUAAAAUAGAGGCUAAAUCUUUUAUUUUAAGGACAAUUUGAAGCCAGUUAAUGCUCAGAGUGACUGUUUCAUUCAUUUGGAAUGUUUCUGGUGACUUCCAGGUAGUUUGGUCUGCCCAUCUCUAUCUAGUUUAAGGACCUAAGAAUGGGAGGGCCCUGGAGGCUGAAGUACUGUAGCCAAGGGGGAGGAAGGAGCCCCCAUCCUGCUGAAGGUGUUUCUUUCUCUGAAGCAGUUAGUCCAGGAUCUAUUAGCAAAUGAAAGUUCUAAGCCCUUGCAACUUUCAAAGUAUCCGUCUGUGUACCAAUUUAUGUAGCCUCUAAUUGAAAGAUCAUAUUUUUGGAAGGAAUAUGUGUUUAUAUGUAAGCUUGUGCCUAAAACAGGUCUGAAGGGAAGACCAUUAUUUAUCCUGUGUUUUUUGAAAAAAAUUGUCUUCUGAAAUUAAAACAUAAAAAACAUUUUUUCAUUAUUGCUUUUCUUUCUCAUGAAGGAAACCUGUGUUGCAUAAUCCAUAUUUAAUCAAUAUUUAUUAUGUUUUAAAAACCAUUUAAUAAUGAUGGUUUAUAUAUCCUAUUUUGUCAGAAUUUUUUAAUUAAUCAAUUAAUUAAUUUUUGGCUACGUUGGGUCUUCGUUGCUGCGUGUGGGCUUUCUCUAGUUGCGGCGAGCUGGGGCUACUCUUCGUUGCAGUGCACCGGCUUCUCAUUGCGGUGGCUUCUCUUGUUGCGGAGCAUGGGCUCCAGGUGCACAGGCUUCAGAAGUGGCACACGGGCUCAGUAGUUGUGGCUCGCAGGCUCUAGAGCACAGGCUCAGUAGCUGUGGCUCAUGGGCUUAGUUGCUCUGCGGCAUGUGGGAUCCUCCUGGACCAGGGCUCGAACCCGCAUCCCCUGCAUUGGCAGGU